GGAGUUGACUGGGUAGUCGCUGCUUCAUUGAUGUCCUUAUGGAGACUGAUGAAGGGGAGGAAAGUCCGGGCUCCAUAGAGCAGGGUGCCAGGUAACGCCUGGGGGGCGUAAGCCUACGACAAGUGCAGCAGAGAGAAGACCGCCGAUGGCUUAUCGUUCUAUGACGUUUAGCACAGGUAAGGGUGAAAGGGUGCGGUAAGAGCGCACCGGACGGCUAGCAAUAGUCCGUAGCAGGGUAAACUCCACCCGGAGCAAGACCAAAUAGGCUUCCAUAUUGCGUUGCUCGCGUAAGGAGGCGGGUAGGUUGCUCGAGCCAGUGAGCGAUUGCUGGCCUAGACGAAUGGCUACCACCGUGCAAGCGGAACAGAACCCGGCUUAUAUGUCGACUCCGCCU
rfam:Vibrio caribbeanicus ATCC BAA-2122 VIBC2010_94, whole genome shotgun sequence.